UUCAACAAACACAUCACUGUGGCUCUAGGUAACAAUUAAAAUAUAAGAGCAUCAUUAACCCAAUAAUAUAGGACAAAUCUCAAAACUAGCACAUUUCUAAGUUUAUAUCACAAAAAUAGCACUCAAAAACUAAAAUGACUAAAAUAGCACAUUUCUAAGUUUAUCUUUUGAAAAUUUUAAUUUUUUUAUUUUUCAAAAUUUGGAAUCUUAUCCCCAAAACCUCAUUUCUCAACUCUAAACCCUAAACCCUAAACUCUAAACCCUAAACCUUAAACUCUAAACACUAAACCUUAAACCCUAAACACUAAACUCUAAACCCUAAACCCUAAAUCUUAAACCCUAAACUCUAAACCUUAAACCCUAAACUCUAAACCCUAAACCCUAAAUCCUAAACCCCACCCU
rnacentral:lncRNA from 1 species